rnacentral:lncRNA from 13 species
AUGUGGUUUCUGUUUGAUGAUGAUGAUGGUGACAGUUAUGACAGAGAUGAUGGUGAUGAUGGUGGUGAUGAUGGCGGUGAUGAUGAUAAUGGAGCUGGUGUUGGUGGUGAUGAUGAUGAUGGUGAUAAUGAUGGUGCUGGUGAUGGUAGUGAUGAUGGUGACAGUGAUGGUGCUGGUGAUGAUGAAGAUGAUGGUGAUGAUGGUGAUGGUGAUGAUGAUGGUGAUGGUGAUGAUGGUGAUAAUGAUGGUGCUGAUGAUGAUAGUGAUGAUGGUGAUGAUGAUGAUAAUGAUGGUGCUGAUGAUGGUAGUGAUGAUGGUGAUAGCAAUGAUGGUGAUGGUGAUGAUGAUGAUGGUGAUGGUAGUGAUGAUGGUGAUGAUGAUGAUGGUGAUGGUGCUGAUGAUGGUAGUGAUGAUGAUGAUGGUGAUGAUAGUGAUGAUGGUGAUGGUGAUGAUGGUGAUAAUGAUGGUGCUGGUGAUGAAGAUGGUGGUGAUGAUGGUGAUAACGAUGGUGCUGGUGAUGAUGGUGAUGGUGAUCAUGGUGGUGAUGAUGAUAUGGUGGUGACGAUGGUGAUAGUGAUGAUGGUGAUGAUGAUGGUGAUAACAAUGGUGCUGAUGAUGAUGGCGGUGAUGAUGGUGAUAGUGAUCAUGGUGGUGAUGAUGGUGAUAGUGAUGAUGGUGAUGGUGAUGGUGCUGGUGAUGAUGAAGACGGUGGUGAUUAUGAUGAUGGUAGUGAUGAUGGUGAUAGUGAUGAUGGUGAUGUGA